GACGAACGCUGGCGGCAUGCCUAACACAUGCAAGUCGAACGGCGAUUAUUUCAGUAAUCUUAGUGACGGACGGGUGAGUAACGCGUGGGCAACCUGCCAUCUAGAUGUGCACAACAUCCCGAAAUGGCUGCGAAUACCUAAUGUUACAGCAAUCUCCCAUGAGGGGGCUAUAGCAGAUGACCUCUAUUUAUAACCUGUCUCUAUAGGAUGAUCCUGAGUCUGCUUAUCUAGUGGGUGGGGGAACAGCCUACCAAGGCGAAGAUCAUUAUCCGGGCUGAGAGGAUGAACGGCCAAAUCGGGAAUGGGACAAGGCCCAGAAUCCUAAGGGAGGCAGCAGUGGGGAAUCUUCCGCAAUGGGCGAAAGCCUGAAGGAGGAAUGCCGGGUGAGUGAUGAAGGAACUCGUGCCGUAAAGCUCUUUUGUUUAGGAAGAAUGUGCAGAUUGUGAAUAAUGAGCUGUAAUGACGGUAGUAAACGAAUAAGCCCCGGCUAACUACGUG
rnacentral:rRNA from 1 species